rnacentral:rRNA from 1 species
ACUUCCGCCGGCGACCGGCGCACGGGUGAGUAGCACGUAUGGAACCUGCCCGUAGCAGGGGGAUAAGCGGAAGAAAUUCCGUCUAAUACCGCGUAAUAACUCCGAGAGGCAUCUCAUGGGGUUUAAAGGGUGACACCGGCUACGGAUGGCCAUGCGGCGCAUUAGCUAGUUGGCGGGGUAACGGCCCACCAAGGCGACGAUGCGUAGGGGUUCUGAGAGGAAGGUCCCCCACACUGGUACUGAGACACGGACCAGACUCCUACGGGAGGCAGCAGUGAGGAAUAUUGGUCAAUGGGCGCGAGCCUGAACCAGCCAAGUCGCGUGAGGGAAGACGGUCCUAUGGAUUGUAAACCUCUUUUGUCGGGGAGCAAAAGACGCCACGUGUGGCGUUCCGAGAGUACCCGAAGAAAAAGCAUCGGCUAACUCCGUGCCAGCAGCCGCGGUAAUACGGAGGAUGCGAGCGUUAUCCGGAUUUAUUGGGUUUAAAGGGUGCGCAGGCGGAAGAUCAAGUCAGCGGUAAAAUUGAGAGGCUCAACCUCUUCGAGCCGUUGAAACUGGUUUUCUUGAGUGAGCGAGAAGUAUGCGGAAUGCGUGGUGUAGCGGUGAAAUGCAUAGAUAUCACGCAGAACUCCGAUUGCGAAGGCAGCAUACCGGCGCUCAACUGACGCUCAUGCACGAAAGUGUGGGUAUCGAACAGGAUUAGAUACCCUGGUAGUCCACACAGUAAACGAUGAAUACUAAUUGUUCGGGGAGAAUGAUCCCUGAGUGAUACAGCGAAAGCGUUAAGUAUUCCACCUGGGGAGUACGCCGGCAACGGUGAAACUCAAAGGAAUUGACGGGGGCCCGCACAAGCGGAGGAACAUGUGGUUUAAUU